AAAUACAACCCCCAAAUUACUUAUUAUAGCCCUCUUAAUUUAAAAAAUUAAAAAAUAAAAAUAAAUUUACUAUUAUAUCCUUAUAAGUUUAUAACCACCAAUAAUAGUAAAUGAAAAUCUAAUUUCUUUCUCUCAGCCACCCUAUCUCUUUUCCGACAAAAAUAUUAUCUCAACCUCCCUCCAUCUUUCCGGCAGAAACAUCGUCACUCACUGAAAAUAACACCCCUUUGUCGCUCACCUGCAAUCGCUGAAAAUAACAC
rnacentral:lncRNA from 1 species